AUUGAACGCUGGCGGCAUGCCUUACACAUGCAAGUCGAACGGUAACAGGUCUUCGGAUGCUGACGAGUGGCGAACGGGUGAGUAAUACAUCGGAACGUGCCCAGACGUGGGGGAUAACGAGGCGAAAGCUUUGCUAAUACCGCAUACGAUCUAAGGAUGAAAGCAGGGGACCGCAAGGCCUUGCGCGUUUGGAGCGGCCGAUGGCAGAUUAGGUAGUUGGUGGGAUAAAAGCUUACCAAGCCGACGAUCUGUAGCUGGUCUGAGAGGACGACCAGCCACACUGGGACUGAGACACGGCCCAGACUCCUACGGGAGGCAGCAGUGGGGAAUUUUGGACAAUGGGCGAAAGCCUGAUCCAGCAAUGCCGCGUGUAGGAUGAAGGCCUUCGGGUUGUAAACUGCUUUUGUACGGAACGAAAAGGCUCUGGCUAAUACCUGGGGCACAUGACGGUACCGUAAGAAUAAGCACCGGCUAACUACGUG
rnacentral:rRNA from 1 species